UAAGAACAGCAGCCACUGUUUGGCUAAAU
rnacentral:sRNA from 1 species